rnacentral:rRNA from 1 species
GACGAACGCUGGCGGCGUGCUUAACACAUGCAAGUCGAACGGAAAGGCCCUGCUUUUGUGGGGUGCUCGAGUGGCGAACGGGUGAGUAACACGCGAGUAACCUGCCCUUGACUUUGGGAUAACUUCAGGAAACUGGGGCUAAUACCGGAUAGGAGCUCCUGCUGCAUGGUGGGGGUUGGAAUGUUUCGGCGGUUGGGGAUGGACUCGCGGCUUAUCAGCUUGUUGGUGGGGUAGUGGCUUACCAAGGCUUUGACGGGUAGCCGGCCUGAGAGGGUGACCGGCCACAUUGGGACUGAGAUACGGCCCAGACUCCUACGGGAGGCAGCAGUGGGGAAUAUUGCACAAUGGGCGGAAGCCUGAUGCAGCAACGCCGCGUGCGGGAUGACGGCCUUCGGGUUGUAAACCGCUUUCGCCUGUGACGAAGCGUGAGUGACGGUAAUGGGUAAAGAAGCACCGGCUAACUACGUG